GACGAACGCUGGCGGCGUGCUUAACACAUGCAAGUCGAACGGAAAGGCCCUGCUUUUGUGGGGUGCUCGAGUGGCGAACGGGUGGGUAACACGUGAGUAACCUGCCCUUGACUUUGGGAUAACUUCAGGAAACUGGGGCUAAUACCGGAUAGGAGCUCCUGCUGCAUGGUGGGGGUUGGAAAGUUUCGGCGGUUGGGGAUGGACUCGCGGCUUAUCAGCUUGUUGGUGGGGUAGUGGCUUACCAAGGCUUUGACGGGUAGCCGGCCUGAGAGGGUGACCGGCCACAUUGGGACUGAGAUACGGCCCAGACUCCUACGGGAGGCAGCAGUGGGGAAUAUUGCACAAUGGGCGGAAGCCUGAUGCAGCAACGCCGCGUGCGGGAUGACGGCCUUCGGGUCGUAAACCGCUUUCGCCUGUGACGAAGCGUGAGUGACGGUAAUGGGUAAAGAAGCACCGGCUAACUACGUG
rnacentral:rRNA from 1 species